rnacentral:rRNA from 1 species
AUUCGUAGAGAUCGGGAGGAAUACCAGUGGCGAAGGCGCCCUUCUGGACGGUUACUGACGCUGAGACGCGAAAGCGUGGGGAGCAAACAGGAUUAGAUACCCUGGUAGUCCACGCUGUAAACGAUGAUCACUAGGUGUAGCGGGUACUCA